UCUACCAUAAGGUUGAGAAAACAAUUGUGCUGGAUGAGCCAGACAUCAGGAUCGAGCUGCUGGGUGAAGCCAGAGUGAACCAGCCUGUGACUGUAGAGCUGACCUUGCUGAACCCUUUGCCAGAGCCGCUGCUGAACUGCAGCUUCGCCGUGGAAGGCAUCGGACUCACAGGCAGCAAACCCAUAACAGCAAAGGUUGAAACUGUGGGAGGAAAUAAAGAAGCGAAGGCCAGGAUUCAGUUUGAGCCCAGCGUUGCUGGCUACAGUGUGCUCCUGGUGAACUUUGACAGCGACAAACUGAAGAACGUCAAGAACUUCAUCGACGUUGUUGUGAAGGAAUGAUUUAAACCUCAGUUCUCAAGAACAACGGUGCAAGUACAUUAUACCUAUCAAUAAAACAGCAGAAAUGAGCAAUAA